rnacentral:rRNA from 2 species
GGGAUUUGUGGGCUUGCUUAUACAUGCAAGUCGAGCGGACAGAUGGGAGCUUGCUCCCUGAUGUUAGCGGUGGAAGGAGGAGUAACACGUGGGUAACCUGCCUGUAAGACUGGGAUAACUCCGGGAAACCGGGGCUAAUACCGGAUGGUUGUCUGAACCGCAUGGUUCAGACAUAAAAGGUGGCUUCGGCUACCACUUACAGAUGGACCCGCGGCGCAUUAGCUAGUUGGUGAGGUAACGGCUCACCAAGGCGACGAUGCGUAGCCGACCUGAGAGGGUGAUCGGCCACACUGGGACUGAGACACGGCCCAGACUCCUACGGGAGGCAGCAGUAGGGAAUCUUCCGCAAUGGACGAAAGUCUGACGGAGCAACGCCGCGUGAGUGAUGAAGGUUUUCGGAUCGUAAAGCUCUGUUGUUAGGGAAGAACAAGUGCUGUUCAAAUAGGGCGGCACCUUGACGGUACCUAACCAGAAAGCCACGGCUAACUACGUGCCAGCAGCCGCGGUAAUACGUAGGUGGCAAGCGUUGUCCGGAAUUAUUGGGCGUAAAGGGCUCGCAGGCGGUUUCUUAAGUCUGAUGUGAAAGCCCCCGGCUCAACCGGGGAGGGUCAUUGGAAACUGGGGAACUUGAGUGCAGAAGAGGAGAGUGGAAUUCCACGUGUAGCGGUGAAAUGCGUAGAGAUGUGGAGGAACACCAGUGGCUAAAGCGACUCUCUGGUCUGUCACUGACGCUGAGGAGCGAACGCGUGGUGAGCGAACAGGAUUAGAUAUCCUGGUAGUCCACGCCGUAAACGAUGAGUGCUAAGUGUUAGGGGGUUUCCCGCCCCUUAGUGCUGCAUCUAACGCAUUAAGUACUUCUCCUGGGGGAGUACGGUCGCAGACUGCAACUUCAAGGAUUUGACGGGGGCUCGCACAGCGGUGGAGCAUGUGGGUUUAUUCGAAGCACCCAAGAAUCCUUACCAGGUCUUGACUUCCUUUGACAUCCUUGAGAUAGGAGUUCCCUUUC